rnacentral:rRNA from 1 species
AUUGAACGCUGGCGGCAGGCCUAACACAUGCAAGUCGAGCGAGCGGCGGACGGGUGAGUAAUGUAUGGGAAACUGCCUGAUGGAGGGGGAUAACUACUGGAAACGGUGGCUAAUACCGCAUACCGUCAGAUGGUCCCAGAUGGGAUUAGCUAGUAGGUGGGGUAACGGCUCAACUAGGCGACGAUCCCUAGCUGGGUUGAGAGGAUGACCAGCCACACUGUAACUGAGACACGGCCCAGACUCCUACGGGAGGCAGCAGUGGGGAAUAUUGCACAAUGGGCGCAAGCCUGAUGCAGCCAUGCCGCGUGUGUGAAGAAGGCCUUCGGGUUGUAAAGCGCUUUCAGCGGGGAGGCGUUACCCGCAGAAGAAGCACCGGCUAACUCCGUGCCAGCAGCCGCGGUAAUAC